AUGGUGGAAGGCUCCGUCCAGGACAUUGCUAACCUGAAGUUCCUCCUCCUGUGCUUCCAACAGAUGUCGGGCUUAACCAUCAACUUCGAUAAGAGCGAAGUGAUGGUUCUCGGGUUCCCCCCGGAGGAAGCACAGGCUAUUGCUGACCGACUCAAUUGUCGGUUGGGUUCUUUCCCCACGACUUACCUGGGGAUCCCCAUUAGCGAUUCGCGCCUCACUGUGGCGGAUCUUCGCCCCACAGUGACCCGUAUGCAACACCGCGUUGAGCCCUGGAAAGGGCGUUGGCUGUCUAAGGCUGCUCGUGUGAUUCUUGUCAACUCUUCACUUGCUAGCCUCCUAUGGUUCGUCAUGAGCUUCUAUAGCCUCCAUGAGACCCUUCAUUAGGAGAUCGCCAAAUUCCAAUCCAAAUUCUUCUGGGCUGGGGAGGGAGAUAAGCAGAAGUACCAUAUGUUAAGCUGGCCCGAUAUCUGCAAACCCAAGGACCAGGGCGGUCUUGGGAUCUUGUCCUCGCGACGCAUGAACAUUGCCCUCCUGACCCGUUGGCUCUGGCGCAUCGCCAAUGGCGAGGGAGGUCUUUGGCUCACCAUCAUCCAGAACAAGUACCUCCGAGGACAGCCUCUUGCAUUCUGUCAGCGCUCGGGCGGCUCCCAGUUUUGGCAGGCCGUCGUCCAGCUGCUUCCCGUGCUUCGCAUUGGCACAUCCAUCUCGGUUGGCACUGGGUCCUCGACCCUGUUCUGGUUUGAUCGUUGGAUUGGCGACUCUCCCCUGGCUGCUCGAUUCCCGGAGCUCUUCGCCAUUGCUGUUGACCCUCGUGUCUCAGUUGAGACGGCCCUUAUUGACUAA
rnacentral:rRNA from 1 species